UAGUCUACGCUGUAAACGAUGUGCACUUGGUGGUGGGAAGUUUAUUCUCGCUGCCGUAGCUAACGUGUUAAGUGCACCGCCUGGGGAGUAUGCCGGCAACGGUGAAACUCAAAGGAAUUGACGGGGGCCCGCACAAGCGGUGGAGCAUGUGGUUUAAUUCGAUGCAACGCGAAGAACCUUACCAGCCCUUGACAUCCAGAGAACUUUCUAGAGAUAGAUUGGUGCCUUCGGGAACUCUGUGACAGGUGCUGCAUGGCUGUCGUCAGCUCGUGUCGUGAGAUGUUGGGUUAAGUCCCGCAACGAGCGCAACCCUCGUCGUUAGUUACAAGUGUCGAACGAGACUGCCGGUGUCAAGCCGGAGGAAGGUGGGGAUGACGUCAAGUCCGCAUGGCCUUUAUGUCCAGGGGCUACACACACGCUACAAUGGGGCAGUACAAUGGGCAGCGAA
rnacentral:rRNA from 1 species